UACGUAGGGGGCAAGCGUUGUCCGGAAUCAUUGGGCGUAAAGCGCGUGUAGGCGGCUCGGUAAGUCUGCUGUGAAAGUCCAGGGCUCAACCCUGGGAUGCCGGUGGAUACUGUCGAGCUCGAGUCCGGAAGAGGCGAGUGGAAUUCCUGGUGUAGCGGUGAAAUGCGCAGAUAUCAGGAGGAACACCAAUGGCGAAGGCGGGUUGCUGGGCUGAUACUGACGCUGAGGCGCGAAAGCCAGGGGAGCAAACGGG
rnacentral:rRNA from 1 species